rnacentral:rRNA from 1 species
CCUACGGGUGGCAGCAGUGGGGAAUAUUGCACAAUGGGGGAAACCCUGAUGCAGCGACGCCGCGUGAGUGAAGAAGUAAUUCGUUAUGUAAAGCUCUAUCAGCAGGGAAGAAAAUGACGGUACCUGAGUAAGAAGCCCCGGCUAACUACGUGCCAGCAGCCGCUGGAAUACGUAGGGGGCAAGCGUUCACCGGAUUUCCUGGGGGUAAAGGGAGCGUAGCCGGCAGGGCAAGUCUGGAGUGAAAGGCGGGGGGUCAACCCCCGGACUGCUCUGGAAACUGUACGGCUGGAGUGCAGGAGAGGUAAGUGGAAUUCCUAGUGUAGCGGUCAAAUGCGUUGAUAUUAGGAGGAACCCCAGUGGCGACUGCGGCUUACUGGACUGUAACUGACGUUGAGGCUCGAAAGCGUGGGGAGCAAACAGGAUUAGAUACCCUGGUAGUC